rnacentral:misc_RNA from 1 species
GAUGAAGAACGCAGCGAAAUACGAUAAGUAAUGUGAAUUGCAGAAUUCAGUGAAUCAUCGAAUCUUUGAACGCACCUUGCGCCCUUUGGCUAUUCUGAAGGGCAUGCCUGUUUGAGUAUCAUGAACACCUCAACUCUCAUGGUUUGCCAUGAUGAGCUUGGACUUUGGGGGUCUUGCUGGCCUACGGUCGGCUCCUCUCAAAUGAAUCAGCUUGCCAGUGUUUGGUGGCAUCACGGGUGUGAUAACUAUCUACGCUUGUGGUUUCCCACCAGGUAACCUUCAGUGAUGGAGGUUCGCUGGGGCUCAUAAAUGUCCCUCCACAGUGAGGACAGCUUUUGAACGUUUGAUCUCAAAUCAGGUAGGACUACCCGCUGAACUUAAGCAUAUCAAUAAGCGGAGGA